rnacentral:rRNA from 1 species
UACAGAGGGUGCAAGCGUUGUUCGGAAUUACUGGGCGUAAAGAGUGUGUAGGCGGUGCUCUAAGUUCGGUGUGAAAUCUCCCGCUUAACUGGGAGGGUGCGCCGGAAACUGGAGUGCUCGAGCGUGGGAGAGGAAAGCGGAAUUCCUGGUGUAGCGGUGAAAUGCGCAGAUAUCAGGAGGAACACCGGUGGCGAAGGCGGGUCUCUGGGCCGAUACUGACGCUGGAGGAGCGAAAGCGUGGGGAGCGAACAGG